AACUAGAUUUUUGCAUGGAUCACACGCUAUAACAUGUGGAGUGGCCCGCUACAUUCAAACAACAUGUGUAGCCUCUUCUAAUGGUAAAAAAUAGUCGUCGACGAUAACAUUUGAAGCAUCGCGUCUAGUCCUCUCCAUUAGGGUGAUGUGUUUCUAUUUAUGGUCGGCGUUUAGGUGGCGACGAUAUUUUUCUUUUCCUUUUUUUUUUUUUUUCAUCUCCCCGAGAUUUGUGCUGUCCAGUAAAAGUAAAAAGGUGUCCAAUAUUACAUCCAUUGUGUAAGCUGUAACUUAUUCGGGCCAUAAGAUUUUUGGGCAUAUUAUCGCUGCUAUGGGCUCUUAAUUGACCUGAGCUUUAGAACCCGAGCCCAAAAUAAACAACACAACAGAACAGGCUCGGCAGUCAGCAGCACUCUUUCACUAUUUCUUCUGCUUCCAAUGCUUAAUUAGCAGAAGCAAGCAAGCAUCCAUCUCAAUUUGCAGCGUGACAGAAGGAAAAAAAUGAAGCCCUGAUUCACUCACCUCCCAUUUCUCUCUUUCUUCAAACUCUUUAAAUGUGUAGGACCUUGUUGACUCGAUGAAUAUUAGCUAUUCUCUCUAAUGAACAAGGUAAAUGUUUCCCUCCUAGUACCCCCUUGCUUCUGAAAGUGAGUUGGUUUCUGGCAUCCGUAACAUUUAUCAAUGUAGUCUGUGUCUCUCUGCUGAAGAUUAGCCAUUAUCAAACCACCCUUUAUUGAGUUGCUACUGGUAGAGAUUGAAUCCCAUAACCUCCAUGCCGCGAUGGGUAUUUUUCAAGCUGGUAGCCCACAUAUUCAUGCUUGUACAUGUACAUGAAUAAUCUUUGUAUUUUCCCGACAAUACAAAGCAACAUUGACUUCGCAAGCUCAGUAGCUGGAUGCGCUUGUAUCUUUGUAUUUUCUCGACAAUCUCGAACUUGUUCUAGGCUUCUAAAUAAUCUUAGAAUCAUUCUGUCACCUUUUAAUUCUGAGAUAUUAUUAAAGAAACUUAAUCUUUCAUCCAAAUCAAA